UAUCCCAGGAGACCAGCCAGCUACUUCAGGACUUCUUCAUAGGCUUCUGGUCUCACCCUGUGAAGCUCCAGUCCCACUCAGGACACACCAUUGACAUGGGGGUCCUCACUCACUUUCUGGGCCUCUUGGUGCUCUCGAUAUCAGGUGCCAGAUGUGACAUCCAGUUGACACAGCCUCCAUCUGCAUCUGCUUCUGUGGGAGACACAGUCAAGAUCAGUUGCCGGGCCAGUCAGAGUGUUGGUAGUUACUUAAACUGGUAUCAGCAGAAACCAGGGCAAGCUACUAAACCCCUGAUCUACUAUGCAACCAGCUUGGAAUCUGGGGUCCCUUCGAGGUUCAGUGGCAGUGGAUCUGGGACAGAUUUCACUCUCAGCAUUAGCGGCCUGCAGCCUGAGGACUUUGCAACAUACUACUGUCAGCAGCAUAACAGUUUGCCUCCCACAGUGAUACAAGCCAUGACAAAAACCUUCCAGAGAAGCAGAAGUGUGGGCCUGGGCUCCCUCAGCUGCCCCUCUUUGUGUCUCCAGCUGUGGACCAAGAUCUUCAGAUGCAUCCAGGACUUUGAAGAGCUCUGGAAGGAUUUGGUAGAAGCCUCCAAGGAAGCUCCUCUCUCCACUAACUUUCUUUUCUGUUUCUCACCCCUGAUUCAAUUAAAGAUGUCUUUGAAGACACUGAAGUAAUAUGGAUUAUGGCAUCGUUUUGCAUUCA